rnacentral:rRNA from 1 species
CCUACGGUGGACAGCAGUGGGGAAUAUUGCACAAUGGGGGAAACCCUGAUGCAGCGACGCCGCGUGAGUGAAGAAGUAUUUCGGUAUGUAAAGCUCUAUCAGCAGGGAAGAAGCAAGACGGUACCUGACUAAGAAGCCCCGGCUAACUACGUGCCAGCAGCCGCGGUAAUACGUAGGGGGCAAGCGUUAUCCGGAUUUACUGGGUGUAAAGGGAGCGUAGACGGUAUGGCAAGUCUGAAGUGAAAGCCCAGGGCUUAACCCUGGGACUGCUUUGGAAACUGUUAGACUAGAGUGCUGGAGAGGUAAGUGGAAGUCCUAGUGUAGCGGUGAAAUGCGUAGAUAUUAGGAGUAACACCAGUGGCGAAGGCGGCUUACUGGACUGCAACUGACACUGAGGCUCGAAAGUGUGGUUAUCAAACAGGAUUAGAUACCCGGGUAGUC